rnacentral:rRNA from 1 species
ACGAAUGUGGCAAGCGUUGUUCGGAAUCACUGGGCGUAAAGAAUGCGUAGGCGGCUUAACAAGUCGGAAGUGAAAUCCCAGGGCUUAACCCUGGAACUGCUUUCGAAACUGUUUUGCUAGAGUCCCGGAGGGGUUAGCGGAAUUCCGAGUGUAGAGGUGAAAUUCGCAGAUAUUCGGAGGAACACCAGUGGCGAAGGCGGCUAACUGGACGGGAACUGACGCUGAGGCAUGAAAGUGUGGGGAUCAAACAGGAUUAGAUACCCUGGUAGUCCACACCGUAAACGAUGUGUGCUAGUUGUCGGGCAGCUUUGCUGUUCGGUGACGGAGCUAACGUUUUAAGCACACCGCCUGGGAAGUACGGCCGCAAGGUUA